rnacentral:tRNA from 1 species
AUUGAAGUGGCAGAGCUCGGACAGUGCAAAAGACCUAAACCCUUUUAACAGAGGUUCAAAUCCUCUCUUCAGUA